rnacentral:rRNA from 1 species
AUGCAAGUCGAACGCUGAAGCACCAGCUUGCUGGUGUGGAUGAGUGGCGAACGGGUGAGUAAUACGUGAGUAACCUGCCCUUGACUCUGGGAUAAGCCCGGGAAACUGGGUCUAAUACUGGAUGCUACAUGUCACCGCAUGGUGGUGUGUGGAAAGGGUUUACUGGUCUUGGAUGGGCUCACGGCCUAUCAGCUUGUUGGUGAGGUAAUGGCUCACCAAGGCGACGACGGGUAGCCGGCCUGAGAGGGUGACCGGCCACACUGGGACUGAGACACGGCCCAGACUCCUACGGGAGGCAGCAGUGGGGAAUAUUGCACAAUGGGCGAAAGCCUGAUGCAGCGACGCCGCGUGAGGGAUGACGGCCUUCGGGUUGUAAACCUCUUUCAGCAGGGAAGAAGCCACAAGUGACGGUACCUGCAGAAGAAGCGCCGGCUAACUACGUGCCAGCAGCCGCGGUAAUACGUAGGGCGCAAGCGUUGUCCGGAAUUAUUGGGCGUAAAGAGCUCGUAGGCGGUUUGUCGCGUCUGCUGUGAAAGCCCGGGGCUUAACCCCGGGUGUGCAGUGGGUACGGGCAGACUAGAGUGCAGUAGGGGAGACUGGAAUUCCUGGUGUAGCGGUGGAAUGCGCAGAUAUCAGGAGGAACACCGAUGGCGAAGGCAGGUCUCUGGGCUGUUACUGACGCUGAGGAGCGAAAGCAUGGGGAGCGAACAGGAUUAGAUACCCUGGUAGUCCAUGCCGUAAACGUUGGGCACUAGGUGUGGGGGACAUUCCACGUUUUCCGCGCCGUAGCUAACGCAUUAAGUGCCCCGCCUGGGGAGUACGGCCGCAAGGCUAAAACUCAAAGGAAUUGACGGGGGCCCGCACAAGCGGCGGAGCAUGCGGAUUAAUUCGAUGCAACGCGAAGAACCUUACCAAGGCUUGACAUAUACCGGAUCGUUCCAGAGAUGGUUCUUCCCCUUUGGGGUCGGUAUACAGGUGGUGCAUGGUUGUCGUCAGCUCGUGUCGUGAGAUGUUGGGUUAAGUCCCGCAACGAGCGCAACCCUCGUUCMUGUUGCCAGCACGUGAUGGUGGGGACUCAUGGGAGACUGCCGGGUCACUCGGAGGAAGGKGGGGAUGACGUCAAUCAUCAUGCCCCUUAUGUCUGGGCUUC